rnacentral:rRNA from 1 species
AAAUUGAAGAGUUUGAUCAUGGCUCAGAUUGAACGCUGGCGGCAGGCCUAACACAUGCAAGUCGAACGGUAGCACAGAGAGCUUGCUCUCGGGUGACGAGUGGCGGACGGGUGAGUAAUGUCUGGGAAACUGCCUGAUGGAGGGGGAUAACUACUGGAAACGGUGGCUAAUACCGCAUAACGUCGAAAGACCAAAGAGGGGGACCUUCGGGCCUCUUGCCAUCAGAUGUGCCCAGAUGGG